rnacentral:rRNA from 1 species
AGAAUCAACGCUGGCGGCGUGCCUAACACAUGCAAGUCGAACGAGAAAGUGGAGCAAUCCAUGAGUAAAGUGGCGCACGGGUGAGUAACACGUGACUAACCUACCCUUGAGUGGGGGAUAACCUAGAGAAAUCUGGGCUAAUACCGCAUAAUACCUUCGGGUCAAAGGAGCAAUUCGCUUAAGGAGGGGGUCGCGGCCGAUUAGUUAGUUGGCGGGGUAAUGGCCCACCAAGACUAUGAUCGGUAUCCGGCCUGAGAGGGCGCGACGGAACGACACCUGGAACUGAAACACGGUCCAGACUCCUACGGGAGGCAGCAGUGGGAAUUUUGCGCAAUGGGGGAAACCCUGACGCAGCAACGCCGCGUGGAGGAUGAAGUCCCUUGGGACGUAAACUCCUUUCGAUCGGGACGAUAAUGACGGUACCGAGAGAAGAAGCCCCGGCUAACUUCGUGCCAGCAGCCGC